AUCAUUGGAAUCAUUUUCUUCCACCUCCUCCACCUCCGACCGAGUCACUUCCGGCUGAGAUAAUGAGCGCGCCACUCUGAAGACACUUAAGGAAAUGGCAGCAACAUGGUCCUGGAGGGCUAAACUAAAACCAAAAGAUGAAGCUGCAUAUUUUUCAUCCAUGCUCAAAGAUAAGGAUGGAUUUGAAAUAAAAUAUAUAAAUUCAUUUAAAGGUUUGUUCUGAGACUGAACAACAGGAGCAUGCUUUGGUCAGCUGUGCAGCAGGAGAUGGGUCAAAGGAG